rnacentral:lncRNA from 10 species
GGAAUGAGCCAUCGCACCUGGCCAUCAAGCUGGAAAAUUUUAAGGUCUGUUUCUUUCCCAAUGUAGAGUAAAGGUUGGGACAGGGAAGAGGGCUAGAAACCUGACUUCAGCUCCCUGCCGAGGGCUGAACUCUCCAGCAUCCUGAUCACUUCUCAUUCAACCUUGCUUGUACUCCUCUGUGAUCGGUAGCUUAUUACCUCAAAACAGAAUAUUCUAAGUCAACCUUUGCCCCCUCUUACCAAGUAAGAUUUCCCAUUUGAACCCCAUCUCCCAGAUACUUAAAGGCCUUCUGUGGGCCACGUUCUCAAGGUCCCCUGGCCAUCUGCUUGCCUGUUCUAGUUUCUCUCCUCCUCCACCCACAUCGUGAAAUGUCCCCUCCCACUCCCCAGCAAGGUGGUGUCCUCUGAGACUGAGUAGUCAGCAACUUAACACCAAGGGCCACCAAUGAUCAAAUCCAUGAGAGUUGAUCUGAGGAGUUAUGUAUUAGGGAUAAGAAACAGUAAACACUCAGUAAAUAGUG